rnacentral:rRNA from 3 species
UAACGACUCUCGGCAACGGAUAUCUCGGCUCUCGCAUCGAUGAAGAACGCAGCAAAAUGCGAUACUUGGUGUGAAUUGCAGAAUCCCGUGAAUCAUCGAGUUUUUGAACGCAAGUUGCGCCCGAAGCCUUCCGGCCAAGGGCACGUCUGCCUGGGCGUCACGC